AAUACUUAGGAAUCUGCCCAUUAAUGGGGGACAACAGUUGGAAACGACUGCUAAUACCGCAUACGCCCUACGGGGGAAAGCAGGGGAUCUUCGGACCUUGCGUUAAUGGAUGAGCCUAAGUCGGAUUAGCUAGUUGGUGGGGUAAAGGCCUACCAAGGCGACGAUCUGUAGCGGGUCUGAGAGGAUGAUCCGCCACACUGGGACUGAGACACGGCCCAGACUCCUACGGGAGGCAGCAGUGGGGAAUAUUGGACAAUGGGGGGAACCCUGAUCCAGCCAUGCCGCGUGUGUGAAGAAGGCCUUUUGGUUGUAAAGCACUUUAAGCGAGGAGGAGGCUACUAGUAUUAAUACUACUGGAUAGUGGACGUUACCCGCAGAAUAAGCACCGGCUAACUCUGUGCCAGCAGCCGCGGUAAUACAGAGGGUGCGAGCGUUAAUCGGAUUUACUGGGCGUAAAGCGUGCGUAGGUGGCCAAUUAAGUCAAAUGUGAAAUCCCCGAGCUUAACUUGGGAAUUGCAUUCGAUACUGGUUGGCUAGAGUAUGGGAGAGGAUGGUAGAAUUCCAGGUGUAGCGGUGAAAUGCGUAGAGAUCUGGAGG
rnacentral:rRNA from 1 species